rnacentral:rRNA from 1 species
ACCGUGGGCGAAGCCUGAUCCAGCCAUGCCGCGUGUGUGAAGAAGGUCUUCGGAUUGUAAAGCACUUUAAGUUGGGAGGAAGGGCAUUAACCUAAUACGUUAGUGUUUUGACGUUACCGACAGAAUAAGCACCGGCUAACUCUGUGCCAGCAGCCGCGGUAA